UACGUAGGGGGCAAGCGUUGUCCGGAUUUAUUGGGCGUAAAGAGCUCGUAGGCGGUUCCGUAAGUCGGAUGUGAAAAAUCUGGGCUCAACCCAGUGGAGCACCCGAUACUGCGGUGACUCGAGUCCGGUAGGGGAGUGUGGAAUUCCUGGUGUAGCGGUGAAAUGCGCAGAUAUCAGGAGGAACACCGACGGCGAAGGCAGCACUCUGGGCCGAUACUGACGCUGAGGAGCGAAAGCGUGGGGAGCGAACAGG
rnacentral:rRNA from 1 species